UCCUACGGGAGGCAGCAGUGAGGAAUCUUGGUCAAUGGGCGCAAUGCCUGAACCAGCCAAGUAGCGUGAAGGAAGACUGCCCUUAGGGUUGUAAACUUCUUUUAUAAGGGAAUAACGAUAGCAACGAGUUGCUAUUUGCAUGUACCUUACGAAUAAGGAUCGGCUAACUCCGUGCCAGCAGCCGCGGUAAUACGGAGGAUCCAAGCGUUAUCCGGAUUUAUUGGGUUUAAAGGGUGCGUAGGCGGGAAAGGAAGUCAGUUGUGAAAUUUUAUGGCUCAACCAUAAACUUGCAGUUGAAACUCUUUUUCUUGAGUACACAUGAGGUGGGCGGAAUUUGUGGUGUAGCGGUGAAAUGCAUAGAUAUCACAAGGAACUCCAAUUGCGAAGGCAGCUCACUGGGGUGUAACUGACGCUAAUGCACGAAGGUGUGGGUAUCAAACAGGAUUAGAUACCCUGGUAGUCCACACAGUAAACUAUGAAUACUCGCUGUUUGCGAUACACAGUAAGCGGCUAAGCGAAAGCAUUAAGUAUUCCACCUGGGGAGUACGUCGGCAACGAUGAAACUCAAAGGAAUUGACGG
rnacentral:rRNA from 1 species